rnacentral:rRNA from 1 species
AAGUCGAGGGGCAGCAUUUCAGUUUGCUUGCAAACUGGAGAUGGCGACCGGCGCACGGGUGAGUAACACGUAUCCAACCUGCCGAUAACUCGGGGAUAGCCUUUCGAAAGAAAGAUUAAUAUCCGAUAGUAUAUUUUCUCCGCAUGGCGAGAAUAUUAAAGAAUUUCGGUUAUCGAUGGGGAUGCGUUCCAUUAGUUUGUUGGCGGGGUAACGGCCCACCAAGACUACGAUGGAUAGGGGUUCUGAGAGGAAGGUCCCCACAUUGGAACUGAGACACGGUCCAAACUCC